rnacentral:rRNA from 1 species
AACACGUGAGCAACCUACCCUUGACUCUGGGAUAACAGUUGGAAACAGCUGCUAAUACCGGAUACGACCUCGGCCGACAUCUGCUGAGGUGGAAAGUUCUGGCGGUCAAGGAUGGGCUCGCGGCCUAUCAGCUAGUUGGUGAGGUAACGGCUCACCAAGGCUUCGACGGGUAGCCGGCCUGAGAGGGCGACCGGCCACACUGGGACUGAGAUACGGCCCAGACUCCUACGGGAGGCAGCAGUGGGGAAUAUUGCACAAUGGGCGAAAGCCUGAUGCAGCAACGCCGCGUGCGGGAUGACGGCCUUCGGGUUGUAAACCGCUUUCAGCUCCGACGAAGCGCAAGUGACGGUAGGAGCAGAA